UACAGAGGGUGCAAACGUUGCUCGGAAUUAUUGGGCGUAAAGCGCGUGUAGGCGGCUUUGCAAGUCGGAUGUGAAAUCCCACGGCUCAACCGUGGAAGUGCAUCCGAAACUGCAUCGCUGGAGUCUCGGAGAGGAAGGUGGAAGUGCCUGGUGUAGAGGUGAAAUUCGUAGAUAUCAAGCAGAACACCUGCGGCGAAGGCGGCCUUCUGGACGAUGACUGACGCUGAGACGCGAAAGCGUGGGGAGCAAACAGG
rnacentral:rRNA from 1 species